rnacentral:lncRNA from 11 species
CCAGGCAGAGGCACGAAUGGAGAGAGCAAGGGAGAAACGUGUCAAGAGGAAGGCACGUCAAGUCAACCCUGACCAGGAUCGCCUUCCAUCUGAAAUCGAUGUCCUCACUGUGAAAUAAUAUGCAGCUCAGUGCACAACAAUAUCUGUUGCACAUGGAUACCAGCGCUAUUACAAGGUGGACUCAAGGGAUAAAAGAUGGCAAGUAUCUAUCCGUUUUGAGCCAUGCCUUGUGUUCCAGCUGGCAGGAGUUCACUUCAUUGUCUUUCAUUUUUGUAUGUUAACAAUUGCCCCCAGAAAACUCCUUAUUCAAUUUGACUCCAAAAAGUACUACUCUAGAGUAAGUUAAUGGAAGCAUUACACUAUCAGGUAUAUUUUCUAUAUUAGGUUAAUGCUGUCUAUUGGUGUAGUAAGAGGAAAUGUGAUAUGGUUGUUAGAGUACUGGACUGGGAUUUGGGGGAUCAUGAUUCUAGUUCCCACUGGACCAUGAAAUUUACUGGUUGAUCCUAGGACUGUCCCUCUCGUACAUCCUGACCUACCUCAUGGAGUUAUUUUAAAGCAGUGGUUCCCAACUUUUGGGCCUCCAGGUGUUUUGGACUUCAACUCACAGAAAUCCC